CUUUCCUUGUUGUUUUUCCUUCUGUUGCCUCUUUUCUUUCAUUCCUUGUUCCGCUUUCUUGCUGUUUUUCUGUGUUGCUGGACAUUUGAGAUUUAGGUGCUUCUGCUUAAUUUGGAGAAGUUCGUGAAACGCACGACAUCCUUCCAUUGAGUUAGGAGAUUUUUAGGAUAGUCGCUUUUGUUUUGGGUGUGUAACGAAAAAAUUGAAAAGUUGUAAACGGUGCGAAGCCAAAAAGUGAACUGUCAAUACGACAUGCCCGUGUGGGCCAUACAGGCGUGAG